GACGAACGCUGGCGGCGGGCUUAACACAUGCAAGUCGAACGGAAAGGGCCUGCUUUUGUGUGGUUCUCGAGUGGCGAACGGGUGAGUAACCUGUGAGUAACCUUCGCUUUGCGUUGUGAUAACUGCAGGAAACUGGUGCUAAUACCGGAUAGGUGCUGCUGCUGCAUGGUGGGGGUUGGAAAUCUUGGGCGGUUGGGGAUGGACUCGCGGCUUAUCAGCUUGUUGGUGGGGUAGUGGCUUACCAAGGCUUUGACGGGUAGCCGGCCUGAGAGGGUGACCGGCCACAUUGGGACUGAGAUACGGACCAGACUCCUACGGGAGGCAGCAGUGGGGAAUAUUGCACAAUGGGCGGAAGCCUGAUGCAGCAACGCCGCGUGCGGGAUGAAGGCCUUCGGGUUGUAAACCGCUUUCGCCUGUGACGAAGCGUGAGUGACGGUAAUGGGUAAAGAAGCACCGGCUAACUACGUG
rnacentral:rRNA from 1 species